rnacentral:rRNA from 2 species
UUCUAACCAUAAACGAUGCCAGCUAGCGAUCCGCGGCUGUUUUUAUUGUAGGCUCCGCGGGAAGCUUCCGGGAAACCAAAGCUUUUGGGUUCCGGGGGAAGUAUGGUUGCAAAGCUGAAACUUAAAGGAAUUGACGGAAGGGCACCACCAGGAGUGGAGCCUGCGGCUUAAUUUGACUCAACACGGGAAAUCUCACCAGGCCCGGACACUGGCAGGAUUGACAGAUUGAGAGCUCUUUCUCGAUUCGGUGGGUGGUGGUGCAUGGCCGUUCUUAGUUGGUGGAGUGAUUUGUCUGGUUAAUUCCGAUAACGAACGAGACUCUGUCCUGCUAACUAGUUCCAGCGUCCCUAGUUUGCGCUGGAAAUUCUUCUUAGAGGGACUGGCGGCGUCUAGCCGCACGAGAUUGAGCAAUAACAGGUCUGUGAUGCCCUUAGAUGUCCUGGGCCGCACGCGCGCUACACUGAAGGGAUCAGCGUGUCUUCCCUGUCCGAGAGGACCGGGUAACCCGCUGAACCCCCUUCGUGGUAGGGAUCGGGGCUUGCAAUUGUUCCCCGUGAACCAGGAAUUCCCAGUAAGCGCAAGUCAUAAGCUUGCGUUGAUUACGUCCCUGCCCUUUGUACACACCGCCCGUCGCUACUACCGAUUGAACUCUUUAGUGAGGUAUUUGGACUGGACCUGGCGAGGUUUGCGCCCCGCCUGCUGUCCGGGAAGACUCCCAAACUUGAGAGUUUAGAGGAAGUAAAA